UACGUAGGGGGCAAGCGUUGUCCGGAAUUAUUGGGCGUAAAGAGCGUGUAGGCGGCUCGAGUCCACUGUGAAAGUCCAGGGCUCAACCCUGGAAUGCCGGUGGAAACUGUCGAGCUAGAGUCCGGAAGAGGCGAGUGGAAUUCCUGGUGUAGCGGUGAAAUGCGCAGAUAUCAGGAGGAACACCAAUGGCGAAGGCAGCUCGCUGGGACGGUACUGACGCUGAGACGCGAAAGCGUGGGGAGCAAACAGG
rnacentral:rRNA from 1 species